GAUGAACGCUGGCGGCGUGCUUAACACAUGCAAGUCGAACGAAGCACUUUGAAAGCUUGCUUUUGGAGUGACUGAGUGGCGGACGGUGAGUAACGCGUGGGUAACCUGCCUUAUACAAGGGGAUAACAGUUGGAAACGACUGCUAAUACCGCAUAAGCGCACAGUGCCGCAUGGCACAGUGUGAAAAACUCCGGUGGUAUAAGAUGGACCCGCGUCUGAUUAGCUAGUUGGUGAGGUAACGGCUAACCAAGGCGACGAUCAGUAGCCGGCUUGAGAGAGUGAUCGGCCACAUUGGGACUGAGACACGGCCCAAACUCCUACGGGAGGCAGCAGUGGGGAAUAUUGCACAAUGGGGGAAACCCUGAUGCAGCAACGCCGCGUGAGUGAAGAAGUAUUUCGGUAUGUAAAGCUCUCUCAGCAGGGAAGAUAAUGACGGUACCUGACUAAGAAGCCCCGGCUAACUACGUGCCAGCCGCCGCCGUAAAAC
rnacentral:rRNA from 1 species